rnacentral:snRNA from 1 species
CGUCUUAUUUCCGAGGGAGU